GUUGUUGCAAUAGUAAUUUUGCUCAGUACGAGAGGAACCGCGUAUACAUUUAGACAAUUGGCUCAUGCACUUGCCUGAAAAGACAAUGCUGCGAAGAUACCAUCAGUUGGAUUAUGAUUGAAGCCUCUUAAUUAGAAUCCAUGCGAGAACGCAGCGAU